CAGGGGUUAGUUUAUUAAAAUUUCGGUUUUGGGGACCGAGGAUAGGAAAUCUUUUCCUACCCCUGA
rnacentral:tRNA from 1 species